AGCGAACGCUGGCGGCAGGCCUAACACAUGCAAGUCGAGCGGCCGUAGCAAUACGGUAGCGGCAGACGGGAGAGUAACACGUGGGAACGCGCCCUUCGGUCCGGGAUAACCCAGGGAAACUUGGGCUAAUACCGGAUACGCCCUUACGGGGAAAGAUUUAUUGCCGAAGGAACGGCCCGCGUCCGAUUAGCUAGUUGGUGAGGUAAUGGCUCACCAAGGCGACGAUCGGUAGCUGGUCUGAGAGGAUGACCAGCCUCACUGGGACUGAGACACGGCCCAGACUCCUACGGGAGGCAG
rnacentral:rRNA from 1 species